CCUACGGGUGGCACCAGUGGGGAAUAUUGCACAAUGGGCGAAAGCCUGAUGCAGCGACGCCGCGUGAGGGAUGACGGCCUUCGGGUUGUAAACCUCUUUCAGUAGGGAAGAAGCGAAAGUGACGGUACCUGCAGAAGAAGCACCGGCUAACUACGUGCCAGCAGCCGCAGUAAUACGUAGGGUGCGAGCGUUAUCCGGAAUUAUUGGGCGUAAAGAGCUCGUAGGCGGUUUGUCGCAUCUGUCGUGAAAGUCCGGGGCUUAACCCCGGAUCUGCGGUGGGUACGGGCAGACUAGAGUGCAGUAGGGGAGACUGGAAUUCCUGGUGUAGCGGUGGAAUGCGCAGAUAUCAGGAGGAACACCGAUGGCGAAGGCAGGUCUCUGGGCUGUAACUGACGCUGAGGAGCGAAAGCAUGGGGAGCGAACAGGAUUAGAUACCCUUGUAGUC
rnacentral:rRNA from 1 species